rnacentral:rRNA from 1 species
UACGUAGGGGGCAAGCGUUGUCCGGAUUUAUUGGGCGUAAAGAGCGUGUAGGCGGCCAGGUAGGUCUGCUGUGAAAACUCGAGGCUUAACCUCGAGCUGUCGGCGGAAACCAUCUGGCUAGAGUCCGGAAGAGGAGAAUGGAAUUCCCGGUGUAGCGGUGAAAUGCGCAGAUAUCAGGAAGAACACCCGUGGCGAAGGCGGUUCUCUGGGACGGUACUGACGCUGAGACGCGAAAGCGUGGGGAGCGAACAGGAUUAGAAACCC